CAGCAGCCGCGGUAAAACGGAGGGUGCAAGCGUUAUCCGGAUUCACUGGGUUUAAAGGGUGCGUAGGCGGAUCUGUAAGUCAGUGGUGAAAUCUCCAGGCUUAACCUGGAAACUGCCGUUGAUACUAUAGGUCUUGAAUUUUGUGGAGGUUAGCGGAAUAUGUCAUGUAGCGGUGAAAUGCAUAGAUAUGACAUAGAACACCAAUUGCGAAGGCAGCUGGCUACACAACUAUUGACGCUGAGGCACGAAAGCGUGGGGAUCAAACAGGAUUAGAUACCCGCGUAGUCCCUGUCUCUUAUAC
rnacentral:rRNA from 1 species